rnacentral:tmRNA from 1 species
GGGGGCGAAAGGGCUCGACGGGGGUUACGAUAAUCAGGUGGCAUGCCGUGGUUCCGUCACCACGAUAAAAGGCGGAAAACAAACACAAACGCCAACAACGAACUGGCAUUAGCUGCUUAAUUAACUAAGCAGCCGCUGCCCUGAAAUUGUCUGUGUUUCAGGUCACAGCGUCAUUCAGCAGGCUGGCUCCGGGGACUUUCCCCUGACCCCGGGGUAAGACAAAGGGGGAUAGAAUUUCAGGACGCCAGCCUUCCGGCAGCCUGAGAUUCGAAAUUUAAUAGGCAGGAUACGCAUGUAGAAGCCUGAGGGCAGUACUUUCGGACGCGGGUUCAAUUCCCGCCGCCUCCACCA